rnacentral:rRNA from 1 species
CGGUCCCAAGGGUUGGGCUGUUCGCCCAUUAAAGCGGUACGCGAGCUGGGUUCAGAACGUCGUGAGACAGUUCGGUCCCUAUCCGUCGUGGGCGUAGGAAAUUUGAGAGGAGCUGUCCUUAGUACGAGAGGACCGGGAUGGACAUACCUCUGGUGUACCAGUUGUCGUGCCAACGGCAUAGCUGGGUAGCUAUGUGUGGACGGGAUAAGUGCUGAAAGCAUCUAAGCAUGAAGCCCCCCUCAAGAUGAGAUUUCCCAACUUCGAUUAUAAGAUCCCUCAAAGAUGAUGAGGUUAAUAGGUUCGAGGUGGAAGCAUGGUGACAUGUGGAGCUGACGAAUACUAAUCGAUCGAAGACUUAAUCAA